UUGUGCACCUUGCGCACCGGAGGUGCUGCCGAAAUUUCCGCUGCGCACAACAGGCGUGUUAGUAUGCAGGCAACCAGCUUGCAGCCAUCCAUUUUGGGCUAAAUUACAAAAUUGGUAUUUUUAUUAAUACACACUUUUCGUUUUGGUAUUUGUAGUUUCUCCAGCAACAUUAAGGUAUCAAUAUUGAAUUUUCUCGACUAAAUUACCAAAUUGGUAUUCUUAGGAGGAAACAAGUUCUGAUUUGGUAUUUUGUUUGUUUGCAGCUAUCCAUCUGCUUUGUUACAGAGGAGAGAAACAAAUACAUUUAUUGAAUGCAGUGGUAUUUGAACCCACACCCUUUUGAACCCAUAUCCUUUUGGACCAGUCUAGAUAUGACGCCUUAGACCACUCAGUCAAACUGUGGCAAUCAUGAUAUUCAAUGAUGAUAUGCCUUUAAAUCGUUUAGGAUUCAGUUCAUUUUGCUCUUUUUCUUAGUAUAAAAAGGCAAUGAAGAUUUGCCCGAAAGCUUUUAGAUUUUGAUGAUGGUUAAGGUUUGAGUUGCCUAGUUGUACACAGGGUACCACUUUGCAGUCGUUAUUUGUUAGAGAAAAAGGAGAGAGACAAUAUUCAUCACGGCAAUGUGGUGAAAACUGGCACAUCUGAAUCUCAUCAAAUAACUCGCCAUGCAAGCUAGCUUGCAAUAUGGUGAGAUCUUGUUGGUUAUUACAAAUUCAUCGUGCCGAUGCCUUCAUAAUUAUUUAGUAUCCAUGCUUACAACUAUAUUUGUUGCAGAACUUGGUAUGAUUUUCUUGCCUGCUCUCUCAUAUACACACACCUCUCUUUCUACCGACUUCUUUCCUUUUGACUAUUUAAAGGUUAUGAUGUUCAUUUUUUUUGCUUAAGAAAAUUUAGGGUACUUUCUAUUUUUCUAUUUGGGAUCUUCCGAUUACAAUUGGGUUUACGAUUCUGUGAUUUCCAAUUUCUUGAUUUGUAAUAUAGCAAUUUUAAUUGCAAGCAUCUAACAAUUUAACAAAGACAAUUCACUAGUUUUGUUUUCCACUUUUGUUACUAUAGUUGCAAUAACGAAAAGUUUAUAGUCUUUCUUUUUCUCCUUGCAAUCUUUAUGCAGAUAUUUUUUUCUGGGAUUCGUGGAUUGUUAUGAUAAUUAUGAUCAUGAUGAUGAUAAUGUUUUGUUAUCCUGGUACAUGGUUUAAUAUGCGGUAAGUAAGCUUGUACCAAACUCUGCAGCCUUCAAAUAUUCAGGGCCAGUUUCAAAGGGGGUACAGAAGAAAAUUUGGAUGCACGAAUUGUGUGUGAUACCUAUUUUUUGAAGAGUUUGUUUCUUUUAUGAUUGUCAUGUAUCAUAUCUUGCUCAGUUUGUUUUCACGUUUCUAGCUGGUGACUAUGGUUCCUGCAUUUUCUUAUUUUUCUUUAUCAUAGUGAGGCAAUGAUGAUUUGCCUUAAAGCCUUUUGGCUUUGAUGAUUGGAUUGGAUACAUUUUGGGGUAUAUAGGCAAAAACCACAUAAAAACUGGUCUUUUUAGAAGCUUGACAGAACCUAAAAGUCAUUAGAGGCAAUGAUAAUUUGUUAGAGAACUCCAAUUGAAUCAAUUCUUUGAUUCCUAACGCUAUAAAAAUGGCGAGGCAAGGUUGGGUCAGCUGUUCUGUCUCAGGCCUCCUGUUUGCAGCCAAUUUUAUAUUUGGGUUUUAAGGUAAGUGAACUUUUUAUUUUUGGAUGUAUGAGAAUAUGUAGAUCAAUGCGGGUAAAACUUUCGGUUUAUAGGCAAAAACCGCUUUUAUUUCUCAAUGAAGAGAGAGAGAGAGAGAGAGCAAGAGAGCGCACGCGCAUUUGUUCAUUGCCGCAAUGUGGCAUAUCUGAGCCUUCUGUUUGUGUCUUUAUCUGCAGUUUAGGAUUACUAUUUUUUUAGAGUGUUUUAUAUCCUUUUCUUUGAAGUUGUUUGAUACAUUUAUUUUUGGGUUUAUAAAUGUACAUCUCUACUGGCUGGCAAUAUUUCCAGCUCUCUUAUACAACAAAAAUUCCCCUUUAUGAAGGUAAAUGAUUCAUUUUUUUUUUUGCAUUGGUUUGGAUCUAGAAAAGAUAAGAUUAAUGAGAAAUUUCCUUUGUUUGAUUGAAUUGCAGAUUUUCUGGUGCUGGUAGCGGUGUUUGUGCAAAAUGCAAGAUCUUUUUAAUAUCCGGGUUUUGUGGACUCCUCAAAUCUCUCAGUUACAGAUUGUGGGAAGCAUGAUCCAGAGCUAAACAAGGAGAUGGAGAAGUAAUUUUGUCGAUCUCAUUAGCAAGGAGCUCAAGUUUCAGGAUGCUGUGUCCAAAAAGCACGCUCGUCACAUGAACAUCACUAUGGUUGAGGCCAAGAGACUGGCUUCUCAGUAUCAGAAAGAGGACGAGAAAUGCAACACAGAGACAGAGACAUGCAAGGAGGCAAGAAAGCGGGCUUAAGCAGCCUCAACCCUUACCGAGGAGAAGCGAAUCACUUAUAUCUGGGAGCAAAGGGGUCGUUGAAGUGGCUGGCAAGAUGUGUAAUCCUUGAAAAAUUAUAUAUUUACUUGAAAAUUUGUUACGUUGUCAUGGAAAAACAUGUAUUUUGUUUCCUUCUUGGGGAGAAAACUUGUCCAGAAAGGUAAUAAAGUUUAUUUUUCAGGUUAA